rnacentral:rRNA from 1 species
CUAAAUUGGGAUGACUUCGGGCUUAUUUGCGCAGUCUGGUGGGAGGCUAUGAUGAUCAAUUUGCGGAUUGUUCUAAGCCAUCAGUGAGAUACCCUCUGGUAAAACUAAAAUUCUAACCUUGCUCCUUGUUAUCCGGUCAAGGAACAGUUUCAGGUGGGCAGUUUGACUGGGGCGGGACCCUCCUAAAAAGUAACGGAGUGUUGCAAGGGUUCCCUCAGGCUGGUCGAAAAUAGCUCGUAGAGUAUAAGGGCAUAGGGGAGCUUGACUGCAAAACCUACAAGUCAAGCAGAGGCGAAAGUCGGCCUUAGUGAUCCCGACAGUUCCGAGUGGAGGGGCUGUCGCUCAACGGAUAAAAAGUUACUCUAGGGAUAACAGGCUGA